rnacentral:sRNA from 1 species
UGUUCUCAUGAGGACACUUGGCAUCCAGGGCCCAACCACACCCAGAGUCCCUGGUCUCCUGUGGCUGACUCACUUUUUACUGUCACCGUGAAGUCCAGGGGGUCCUUGUACUUGAUGUUCUCUCCUGGCAAGGGCCAGGGCCCUGUGAUUGGCCUCUCGUGGAGUGCUGGGCAGGGCCUCCAUGGCCUCUGUCGGGCGGGGGGGCUACUUCAUCUCUGAGUCUGUACCCCUCGUGUCCCAGGUAGUGGAGUGGGAGUGAAGAAGCUGUGUGAACUGCAGCCUGAGGAGAAGUGCUGUGUGGUGGGCACUCUGUUCAAGGCCAUGCCGCUGCAGCCCUCCAUCCUGCGGGAGAUCAGCGAGGAGCACAACCUGCUCCCCCAGCCUCCUCGGAGUAAAUACAUACACCCAGAUGACGAGCUGGUCUUGGAAGAUGAACUGCAGCGUAUCAAACUAAAAGGCACCAUUGACGUGUCAAAGCUGGUUACGGGUAGGGAGCCCAAUGAGAGGAUGUGGGUGAUGCAGGUGAAGA